rnacentral:rRNA from 1 species
CCCCUUCGGGGAGGCGUCGGAAGACAGGUGCUGCAUGGCUGUCGUCAGCUCGUGUCGUGAGAUGUUGGGUUAAGUCCCGCGAAACGACGCGCAACCCUUGUCUUAAUUGCCAGCAUUCAGUUGGCACUUUAAAGAGACUGCCGGUGUUAAGCCGGAGGAAGGUGGGAUGACGUCAAGUCCUCAUGGCCUUAUGCCCAGGGCUACACACGUGCUACAAUGGGUGGUACAAAGAGAUGCCAACUCGCGAGAGCGCGCCAAUCUCAGAAAGCCAUCCUCAGUUCGGAUUGGAGUCUGCAACUCGACUCCAUGAAGUUGGAAUCGCUAGUAAUCGCGGAUCAGCACGCCCGCGGUCGAAUACGUUCCCGGGCCUU